rnacentral:rRNA from 1 species
UACGGAGGGUGCGAGCGUUGUCCGGAAUCACUGGGCGGAAAGGGCGCGUAGGCGGCCCGGCAAGUCAACGGGGAAAGCUUGGGGCUCAACCCCGAGUCGGCCGUCGAUACUUCCGGGCUGGAGCACUGUAGAGGCAGGUGGAAUUCCGGGUGUAGCGGUGGAAUGCGUAGAGAUCCGGAAGAACACCGGUGGCGAAGGCGGCCUGCUGGGCAGUAGCUGACGCUGAGGCGCGACAGCGUGGGGAGCAAACAGG